UACAUGGGUGUGCAACAGUUGCUCGGAAUUAUUGGGCGUAAAGCGCGCGUAGGCGGUUACUCAAGUCGGAUGUGAAAGCCCUCGGCUUAACUGAGGAAGUGCACCCGAAACUGAGUAGCUAGAGUACUAAAGAGGGUCGCGGAAUUCCCGGUGUAGAGGUGAAAUUCGUAGAUAUCGGGAGGAACACCGGUGGCGAAGGCGGCGACCUGGGUAGAUACUGACGCUGAGGCGCGAAAGCGUGGGGAGCAAACAGG
rnacentral:rRNA from 1 species